rnacentral:rRNA from 1 species
AUUGAACGCUGGCGGCAGGCUUAACACAUGCAAGUCGAGCGGUUGACGGGAGCUUGCUCCCUGAUUCAGCGGCGGACGGGUGAGUAAUGCCUAGGAAUCUGCCUAUUAGUGGGGGACAACGUUUCGAAAGGAACGCUAAUACCGCAUACGUCCUACGGGAGAAAGCAGGGGACCUUCGGGCCUUGCGCUCAUAGAUGAGCCUAGGUCGGAUUAGCUUGUUGGUGAGGUAAUGGCUCACCAAGGCGACGAUCCGUAACUGGUCUGAGAGGAUGAUCAGUCACACUGGAACUGAGACACGGUCCAGACUCCUACGGGAGGCAGCAGUGGGGAAUAUUGGACAAUGGGCGAAAGCCUGAUCCAGCCAUGCCGCGUGUGUGAAGAAGGUCUUCGGAUUGUAAAACACUUUAAGUUGGGAGGAAGGGUUGUAGAUUAAUACUCUGCAAUUUUGACGUUACCGACAGAAUAAGCACCGGCUAACUCUGUGCCAGCCGCCGCGGUAAUAC